AGAUUGAACGCUGGCGGCAGGCCUAACACAUGCAAGUCGAGCGGUAGAGAGGUGCUUGCAUCUCUUGAGAGCGGCGGACGGGUGAGUAAUGCCUAGGAAUCUGCCUAGUGGUGGGGGAUAACGUUCGGAAACGGACGCUAAUACCGCAUACGUCCUACGGGAGAAAGCGGGGGACCUUCGGGCCUCGCGCCAUUAGAUGAGCCUAGGUCGAUUAGCUAGUUGGUGAGGUAAUGGCUCACCAAGGCGACGAUCCGUAACUGGUCUGAGAGGAUGAUCAGUCACACUGGAACUGAGACACGGUCCAGACUCCUACGGGAGCAGCAGGUGGGAAUAGUUGGACAAGUGGGCGAAAGCCUAGAUCCAGCCAGUCGCCGCGUGUGAGAAGAAGGUUC
rnacentral:rRNA from 1 species